AACGAACGCUGGCGGCAUGCCUAACACAUGCAAGUCGAACGAGCCCUUCGGGUCUAGUGGCGCACGGGUGCGUAACGCGUGGGAACCUGCCCUUAGGUUCAGAAUAACUCCCAGAAAGGGGUGCUAAUACCGGAUAAUAUCUUCGGACCAAAGAUUUAUCGACUUUGGAUGGGCCCGCGUUGGAUUAGCUAGUUGGUAUGGUAAAAGCCUAACAAGGCGCCGAUCCGUAACUGGUCUGAGAGGAUGAUCAGCCACUCUGGGACUGAGACACGGCCGAGACUCCUACGGGAGGCAGCAGUGGGGAAUAUUGCACAAUGGGCGAAAGCCUGAUGCAGCAAUGCCGCGUGAGUGAUGAAGGCCUUAGGGUAGUAAAGCGCUUUUACCCGGGAUGAUAAUGACAGUACCUGGAGAAUAAGCCCCGGCUAACUCCGUG
rnacentral:rRNA from 1 species